UACGUAGGGGGCUAGCGUUGUCCGGAAUCAUUGGGCGUAAAAGAGCGCGUAGGCGGCCAGAUAAGUCCGGUGUGAAAGUCAAAGGCUCAACCUUUGAAUGCCGCUGGAAACUGUCUGGCUAGAGUCCGGGAGGGGCGAGUGGAAUUCCUGGUGUAGCGGUGAAAUGCGCAGAUAUCAGGAGGAACACCAAUGGCGAAGGCAGCUCGCUGGAACGGUACUGACGCUGAGGAGCGAAAAGCAUGGGGGAGCGAAACAGG
rnacentral:rRNA from 1 species